CCUACGGGAGGCAGCAGUGAGGAAUAUUGGUCAAUGGACGAGAGUCUGAACCAGCCAAGUCGCGUGAGGGAUGACUGCCCUAUGGGUUGUAAACUUCUUUUAUCUGGGAAUAAAACAGGGUAUGCAUACCCUCAUGUAUGUACCAUGUGAAUAAGGAACGGCGAAACCCCUGCCAGCAGCCGGGGGAAAUCGGGGGAUUCGAGCGUUAUUCGGAUUUAUUGGGUUUAAAGGGAUCGUUGGGGGAUUGUUAAGUCCGUCGUGAAAGUUUGGGGGUCAAACCUAAAAUUGCAGUUGAAACUGGCGGUCGUGAGUAGAGGAGAGGUGGGCGGAAUGCGUGGUGUAGCGGUGAAAUGCUUAGAUAUCACGAAGAACUCCGAUUGCGAAGGCAGCUCACUGGACUGCAACUGACACUGAUGCUCGAAAGUGUGUGUAUCAAACAGGAUUAGAUACCCGUGUAGUC
rnacentral:rRNA from 1 species